UACGUAGGGGGCAAGCGUUGUCCGGAUUUAUUGGGCGUAGAGAGCGUGUAGGCGGCUUGACAGGUCUGCUGUGAAAACUCGAGGCUCAACCUCGAGAUGUCGGCGGAAACCGUCUGGCUAGAGUCCGGAAGAGGAGAGUGGAAUUCCUGGUGUAGCGGUGAAAUGCGCAGAUAUCAGGAAGAACACCUAUGGCGAAGGCAGCUCUCUGGGACGGUACUGACGCUGAGACGCGAAAGCGUGGGGAGCGAACAGG
rnacentral:rRNA from 1 species